UAGGCCCCUGGGGCAAACAGGUGGAGUUUGUUGUCUGUGGAUGGAUGCUCCAAGAGGAAAAUAGCAGGACAAGAGUGGGAGAAGGCUGGGCCCUGCCCAGAUGAGACCACAUAUUCCUCAUUCUUGAAAUUAGGGAGAGCUCUCUGACUACACAUGUGCAGAUAGCUUCUUUGGAGAUCAAAAGACGGGGCGUAUCACCUCAUAGGGCAGCUACUACAGUUUCGGGGUCUGCUUUGACCACUACUCAUCCACCAUCUGCAAUAUGGAUCCUACUUUCUGGAGUAAGACCACUUAUCUUCGGUUUCCAGGGCUACCCUCACGUCUGACCAAGUGAUCACAAACUUGGGGUUCCCAGUACACCUCUGUUUUGACAACUGUCCAGAAAAACUCAUAGAACUCAGGAAAAUAUUUUACUUAUGAGAAGACUUUUAUUGGAGCAAAAAAAAAAAGAAAGAAAGAAAGGAUGUGAAUGAGAACCAGACAAAAGAAGAGGUACAUAGGGUGAGGUCUGAGGGAGUUCCAAACAAGCAGCUUCCAGCGUCAUCUCCAAGUGCAGUCAGAAUGCAUCACGGUCCCAGAACAUCAAUGUGUAGCAACAUGCACACAAUACUGCCAACGAGAUAGUUCCUAAAGCUUUGAUGUACGAAGUUCUCCUGGGACGUCGUCACAUGAGCCAGACUGACUGAGUCAGAGGCUACAUGAUUGAACUACACGCUCUUCCCUCUGGAGGCCCAGUCGCUGUUACAUGGCUUAAAGCCCCAGCUCUCUAAUGACAUGAUGAGAUCUGAAAUAUUCCUGCCACAGAGCCAAACUGGCUUCCUGCUUCAGGGUUAUUGGAGAAAGACUGCACCUCUGUGACUGGCGGUUUCAACCUGGACACACUCCAUCUGCACCUAGGAACAAAACUGCCUUUAACCCCGAUAAUUAAACUCUA